rnacentral:rRNA from 1 species
GACGAACGCUGGCGGCGUGCUUAAUACAUGCAAGUCAACGACUUUUAGAGUAGCAAUAUUUUAAAAGGAGUGGCGCACGGGUGAGUAACACGUAGGUAAUCUGCCUUCAGGACUGACACAACUCGUCGAAAGACGGGCUAAUAUCAGAUAAUGCAGCGGCUCCGCAUGGAGACAGUUGUUAAAGUACAAGCGCCUGAAGAUGAGCCUGCGGUCCAUUAGCUAGUUGGUAGAGUAACAGCCUACCAAGGCAACGAUGGAUAGCUGGUCUGAGAGGAUGAUCAGCCACACUGGAACUGAGACACGGUCCAGACUCCUACGGGAGGCAGCAGUAAGGAAUAUUGCUCAAUGGCCGAAAGGCUGAAGCAGCAACGCCGCGUGAAGGAUGAAUGGCCUUUGGCCCUGUAAACUUCUGUAAAAAGGGAAAACAAUCAGGCAUGUCCUGAUUUGAUUGUACCUUUGAAGUAAGCCCCGGCUAAC